AUCACUGCCAAUUUAUCUACCACUGCCAAUCUAUCUAUGGCUGCUAAUCUAUCGCUGCUAAUCUAUCGCUGCCAACCUAUCCAUUGCUGCCAAUUUAUCUACCACUGCCAAUCUAUCUAUCGCUGCUAAUCUAUCGCUGCUAAUCUAUUGCUGCUAAUCUAUUGCUGCUGUCAAUCUAUCUAUCACUGCUAAUCUAUUGCUGCUAAUCUAUCACUGCUAAUCUAUCGCUGCUAAUCUAUCGCUGCUAAUCUAUCGCUGCUAAUCUAUUGCUGCUAAUCUAUCACUGCCAACCUAUCUACCGCAGCGAAUCUAUCUAUUGCUGCCAAUCAACCUACCAC
rnacentral:sRNA from 1 species